rnacentral:lncRNA from 1 species
GCUGUCCCUAGAUGAGCUGACAGACCCUGGCUGAGCAGGAAGUGGCAGGGUCAGGAAAAGCUAGGCCACAAGUUUUCCCUUGAGAGCCUUAGUUAGAGACUGCAUCUCACCAUGUUGCUCAGGCUGUUCUCGAACUCCUGGGCUCAAGCAAUCCUCCUACCUCAGCCUCUCAAAGUGUUGGGAUUAUAGAUGUGAGCCACUGUACCCGGCCCUGGUUGCAUUCUUCAUUAUUAGGAACAUAAGAGUCUAGCCCUGUCGCCCAGGCUGGAGUGCCAUGGUUUGAACUCUACUCACCGCAACCUCCACCUCCCAGGUUCAAAUGAUUCUCCUGCCUCAGCCUCCUGAAUAUCUGGGAUUACAGGUGCCUGCCACUACACUCAGCUAAUUUUUGUAUUUUUAGUAGAGACAGGGUUUCACCAUGGUGGCCAGGCUGGUCUUGAACUCCUGACCUUGUGAUCUGCCCAUCUCGUGCUGGUAUUACAGGCGUGAGCCACUGCGCCCAGCCUAAAAUAAUUUUCAGUGAGUUAUAAGAAAACAGCUGCAUUCUGUUCUGUUUUUAGGCCUGGCCAGAGAAUACCAGGAGACUGUAAGAUGUCAUGGUACAUCAAGUCAGUCUCAAGUGUCCUAUAACCCUGGCUUGCCAUCAGCUUAGAAUGUUCUCUUUUUCUACUGACCUGCCUUCCAUCUGUGGUCUCUUCCUUCCGUCUGCUAUUUAUCAUGUACUUAUUGAUGUGUGUCCCAGAAUGUUCAGAAUCAUCUGAUUUAAAAGAUUCUGUCCCAUUUUCAGUAAAAGUAGCCCAAUAUUUUGUUGAGAAAACACAGUGACUGUGCAUAUACCUACCUACUCAUUAAGGUAUCACUUGUUGGUCACCUAGAGUAUAAAUUCAUGGCGUGGAUAUGACCUUGGUAUGAGCCUGUUCUAUACUGAUUUUGUCCCUCAUUGGGGAAAGACACUAGGAGGAUGUGUGUAUAGUGAAUAGAGGUACAGAUUGGGCACAGGCAGACUCUUUCUUGAAUCUAUUUCAUCAAUUAGUGGAUUUUUUUUCUCCUAGCCAAGUUAUUUAGCCUCUUCCUAUAUGAAAUACUCCUUCUUUUCAUCUGUUUUUGUUUUUAAAUGAGAUGACAAUUCAUGACUAGUCUUGGUCCCCUUAACACUUAGUGAGUGCUCAACAAAUGGUAGGAAUUAUUAUGGAUAACAAUAAUUAGUGUAAGUUCAAUAUGUAAAUAAAACUGCCUUUUGUUCACUAUCACAUCGCUUGUCUCAUCGGGUCUCAUCAUGAAAUAUUGGUCAUCAUUACUAUGAGAUCCAUCUAUGGUUAAUAUUACUAGUGUGACCCUAAAAUAGGAUUCAUCAACUAGGUAUGAUCAUCCGUCUAUUCUUUCCUUAAAUACAUUGAGCAAAAUCUUCAGGGGCAGCUGUAUUUUUUAACUGCACAUGCUACAGGGAUUCUGAAGUGAAACAUGGUGAAGAACCACCCAAUCAGACAUUUGAAUGGGGACUGACAGUCUUAAGUCUAAAGAAAUUUCCUCUUCCUUCAUAGUAAUUAGCAAGAAACUUCUACAAAAGUUACAAUGCCAAUUACUGGAAACGCGCAUAUCAGGAGUUCCAUGGAGGACCAUUUCCAAGCAGUAGACAUCAUGCAUCAAUCUGCUUUUUGAAAUCCAGACUGAUUUUCCAAAUCAUUUUUAAAUAAGAGGCCUCAAGCCGUAUGUAAGAAACAAGAAAAUUUGUGCCUUAAGAGCAACUAUCAACUUAAAUCAAAGAGGGGUAAGAGGAAUACAAUCCAAAAUCGCAGGGAGCACUUGGAAACAAUUCUUGGCAACUGUAUUCAGUUGAAGAAACUCAGAAUAUGAAAGCAUUAACAUAGAGUGCAACCAAAACACAAAUAAGAAUCACCCAAGCUGGGCUACAAGAAUAGCUACUGUUUACUCUGAGUGGAUAUUUAUGAAGAGCCGUAGUAAGAAAGAUCUUUUUGAUGAUAACAGAGCGGUGUAUGGCAUGAUAUUAAUUCUGCCUCAUUAGUGAAAUGAAAAACUCUGAGAUAGGUGUGACAAAGAAAAUUAUCACUGUUUCUCAUUCAGUGUUAAUUUCGCUUCUUGAAUUAAAUUCUGCUCAUUCUCUUCGGUGCAUUUAAAAUUAUUCCUUUCUUUUGAUACAUAUAUAUAUCUAUAUCCUAUGGAAUACUACUCAGGCAUAAAAAUGAAUGAAAUCAUGUGUUUUGCAGCAGCAUGGAUGAAUCUGGAGGCCAUCAUCCUAAGUGAAAUAACUCAGAAACAUGUUCUCACUUAUAUCACAAAUAUCUCACUCACAAAUAUCACAUGUUCUCACUUAUAAGUGGGAGCUAAACAGUUAAUACACAUGGACAUAGAGAGUGGAAUAAUAGGCAUUGGAGAACUCCAAAAGAAGGAAAAGUGGGAGCAGGGGUGAGAAAUGAGAAAUUACUUCAUGGGUACAGUAUACAUAUUCAAGUGAUGGGUACACUAAAAGUGCAGAAUUCACCACAAUGCAAUAUAUCCAUGUAACAAAACUGCACUUGUACCCCCCAAAUCUAUACACAUGAAAAAAAAUUGUUCCUUUCCAAUAUCAGCAUGUAUUAGAAUCAGGAAUGGUUUAUACAUUAAACACUAUAAGCACAGCCCUUAUGGAAUGUGAGCCUUUUGAAGAUACAUUAUUUGGAUAGAGCUUGAAUUUUUUUUUUUAAAAAAGAACAAUAAUAGUAACAUGCAUUGAGUGUUUACUUUGUACCAGGUAUGCUAUGAGGGUUUUACAUCCAUUAACUCUCUUGAUCCCCACACCACCCUUUGGGCAAGGUACUUAAAUUAUCAUCAUAUGCAAAACUUGACAUGUAGAGAGAAUAAGGAACUCGCUCAAGGUUAGACUGAUAAUAAGUGACGGAGCUGAUCUUCUAACCCCUGGAGUUGACUUUGCCACCACACUGCCUUCUCACACAUGUUCAGAACUCUCAAUCUUUUCUCAACAGAAGAACCCCAAAGUCUGUUUUGUGUCUUUUUCUAUUCAAACACCCAGACAGAGGGAAGAGCAAAGGUCCUAUGGCCCAGGGAAGUCUGGCUUGAUGGAGAAAAUGAAAGCUGAUAGAUGUGGAUGAAAAAACAAACUGCGGUCAAACUAACAUGAAAAAAGGGCCAACUAGGUAGGACCUUACCGGGUAGGUCCAGAUUUUGAUCUUUAACCUUGGAACAAUGAGAAGCCCAUGAGGCAUUUAGCCAAUUAACGGUUUAUAAAGUUCACUUUGGAAGCAAUUAGAAAAUCAGCAUGAAAUGGAGGGGGCUGAGUGGAUAUCAGGAGAAGGCUGAGGCUAACUCAGCAGCCCAGGAAGAGAAGCAAGGUCUUAGAUUAAGGGACUGGUGAUGUGAGAGUGUUCAGUGAAGCUCAGGCAGCCUCCGCUUCUU